rnacentral:misc_RNA from 1 species
GGAAAUAAAAGUCGUAACAAGGUUUCCGUAGGUGAACCUGCGGAAGGAUCAUUCAUAAUAAAGUGUUUUAUGGCACUUUUUAAAAAUCCAUAUCCACCUUGUGUGCAAUGUUAGAUCUCGUCAAUCUUGGCGAGAUUUUUAUACAUCAACUCAUUUUUUAACUAAUUUGUCUGAAAAAUAUUAUGAAUACUUAAUUCAAAAUACAACUUUCAACAACGGAUCUCUUGGCUCUC